AUCAGAUCUCUACAUCGGACAGUGAUCGGUUUGGGAUCGGCUUUGGGUUUGUGCGCACUUCUGAUUUUCUGUCUCACUUAUUUCAUACUGAGGAGAAGAAAAGGUGAUAAAAGUAAGUGUUUUUGUCAUCAGAUUAUAAAUACAUCAGUGAAGUUUUGAUAAAAUGACUAAAUAAGCAUUUUUCUAUAUUAAUAGUGAAGACUUCUAGAGAAGAUUCUUCAGGAACGAAGCAGAUUCAGGAAUCUGAAGCAACAACGGUGAUUUACGCAGAUGUACAGUUCAACAAGAUGAAAAGAAAAGCUGAAAAAAGAAAACCUGACUUAGCGGAGCAUUGUGUGUACUCUACUGUGAAAUAAAACUUUUUUCUGUA